UUGACCUUUUCUACUUUUAAUUCACUCACAGAGGGUGGGAAAGGAGGAAGAGUGAAGGAAAAGGUCAA
rnacentral:sRNA from 1 species